UUACGGCCAUAUCACGUUAAAGCACCGGUUCUCGUACGAUCGCCAAAGUUAAGCAACCUCGAACCUGGUCAGUAGCUAGAUGGGUGACUGUUUGGUUAAACCAGGUGGUGUAAG